rnacentral:rRNA from 1 species
GUGCCAGCCGCCGCGGUAAUACGGAGGGUGCAAGCGUUGUCCGGAUUUAUUGGGUUUAAAGGGUGCGUAGGUGGCCUGUUAAGUCAGUGGUGAAAUACAGCCGCUCAACGGUUGAGGUGCCAUUGAUACUGAUAGGCUUGAAGCAGACAGAGGCUGCCGGAAUGGAUGGUGUAGCGGUGAAAUGCAUAGAUAUCAUCCAGAACACCGAUUGCGAAGGCAGGUGGCUAUGUCUGACUUGACACUGAGGCACGAAAGCAUGGGGAGCAAACAGGAUUAGAAACCCGGGUAGUCC